UACGGAGGGGGCUAGCGUUGUUCGGAAUUACUGGGCGUAAAGCGCACGUAGGCGGCUUUGUAAGUUAGAGGUGAAAGCCCAGGGCUUAACCCUGGAAUUGCCUUUAAGACUGCAUCGCUAGAAUCGUGGAGAGGUGAGUGGAAUUCCGAGUGUAGAGGUGAAAUUCGUAGAUAUUCGGAAGAACACCAGUGGCGAAGGCGACUAACUGGACAUGUAUUGACGCUGAGGUGCGAAAGCGUGGGGAGCGAACAGG
rnacentral:rRNA from 1 species